rnacentral:rRNA from 1 species
CCCUCCCUCCGGGAGGCCGCCGUGGGGCCUCUUGCGCCCUGGGCGCCCGCCUGACGCCGCGCCGCCGCGUGCGUGCUUCAGGUCUUCGGAUCGUAAACCUCUGUCAGCAGGGAAGAACGGUCACUGUGCUAAUCAGCAGUGAAUUGACGGUACCUGCAAAGGAAGCACCGGCUAACUCCGUGCCAGCAGCCGCGGUAAUACGGAGGGUGCGAGCGUUAAUCGGAAUUACUGGGCGUAAAGCGCUCGUAGGCGGUAUGUCAAGUCAAGGGUGAAAUCCCCGCGCUCAACGUGGGAACUGCCUUUGA